rnacentral:rRNA from 1 species
AGAGUUUGUAGUCCUGGCGUCAGGAUGAACGCUGGCGGCGUGCUUAACACAUGCAAGUCGAGCGAAAUAAUUGAGUAGCUUGCUUUUGAUAUUUUAGUCGGCGGACGGGUGAGUAACGUGUGGGCAACCACCUUUUACUGUGGAAUAAUACGUUGGAACGACGACUAAUACCGCAUACGAUUUCUGAAGGCAUCUUGGAAAGAAAGGAAAUAUUCGGUAAAGAUGGCCGCAUCUGAUUAGCUAGUUGGUGAGAUAAUAGCCCACCAAGGCAACGAUCAGUAGCCGACCUGAGAGGGUGACCGGCCACAUUGGGACUGAGACACGGCCCAAACUCCUACGGGAGGCAGCAGUGGGGAAUAUUGCACAAUGGGCGAAAGCCUGAUGCAGCAACGCCGCGUGAAGGAAGACGGUUUUCGGAUUGUAAACUUCUAUCAAUGGGGAAGAAAGAAAUGACGGUACCUAAAUAAGAAGCCCCGGCUAACUACGUG